rnacentral:rRNA from 1 species
AUACGGAGGGUGCAAGCGUUAUUCGGAAUCACUGGGCGUAAAGGACGCGUAGGCGGGUUGGCAAGUCAGAUGUGAAAUCCUACAGCUUAACUGUAGAACUGCAUUUGAAACUGCUAACCUAGAGUAUGGGAGGGGGAGAUGGAAUUAGUGGUGUGGGGGUAAAAUCCGUAGAUAUCACUAGGAAUACCGAAAGCGAAGGCGAUCUCCUGGAACAUAACUGACGCUAAGGCGUGAAAGCGUGGGGAGCAAACAGGAUUAGAUACCCUUGUAGUCC